rnacentral:pre_miRNA from 1 species
UCUUAUGGAUGAGCAAAGAAAGUGGUUUUCUGAGAUGGAGACUACUUCUGGUGCAGAUGCUGUGAA